GUGGAUGUAGUUUAACAAAAACACUAGAUUGUGAUUCUAGAGAUAGAAGUUGAAACCCCUCAUCUACC
rnacentral:tRNA from 1 species